CUCAUAAUAGGUCUUCAAAGUCUGCAUGGGCCUGGAUCCCAGUCCAGCACUAAAUGUGCUAAAUUAAGGUUCCGAGAGAAGUAGAGCAACCUUGACGACAUCUGCGGUAGACCAACUUAAUUAUGGUUUUAUAUUGGCCCUUCCAGUGCAGUGCUGCCGGUGCCUUGCUGAGGGCUGCCAGGAAGCGCUCUGUUCUUGCCGUUGGAAAAAGAGUUUGGAGGAAAACAGCGUGUAGGGAGGCUCAAGGGAGGAAGACGUAUUCAGAUCUUCUACUCGGGUGAAAGAAGCAAUACCACAGGAUAGAAAUCCACUGUUAGAAGUCAAAGUCUGUGACUUAAGAUAAAAAUUAUUGGCAUCAAAAUACACUUAAAGGUCUAGUGUGUAGGAUUGAUGGAGAUCCACCGGCAGAAAUAUAUAAUAUUUGUAAGUAUAUAAUGAUUUAUAUCUUUCACAAGCAUCUGUGUUUUAAAUGUGUUUUCCAUAGUGCAUAAGUAGCUGAAAAUAUAAUCAAAAUGUGCCCAAUGUGUCUACGUGGAAACAGGUCAUCUUCCACAGAGCCGACCAUGCUGCACAAAUAUGUUUCUACAAAAGCCCAGAAUGGACAAAAAAAAAACCCCAGACAAACAAUGGCUCCACAUAGGGCCUUUUUACCAGCAAACACGAUUUCUCCUAUACGUUUGGUGGGGCGAGAUGUAUUCAGUUGGUUGCGGUCUGAAACCUCACCACUAGAAGCCACUAAAUCCUGCACACUGGACCUUGAAAGUACCAAUUAAAGUACUCAUCAUGCAGAAUGCCAUCUUUCAGAAUAACAUGUACAUUCAGAUUGUAAUUGUAAAUGCAUUAAUGCCUCCAUCACGUUAAAGCAACAUUAUGUAGAAAUUGGCAAUUUGUGUAAUUUGGUUUCAAAAGUUAGAAUUUAAACGUAGUGCAGUUAAAAGUACAAUAUUUACCUCAUAAUCACAGUGGAGAGUAUAAAGUAGCAGAAUAUUGAACUACUUACAUAAAAUACACCUCAAAAUUGUUCUGAAGUGGAGUACUUGACUAAAUGUACCUACUUUACACCACUUGGGAGGCUGAGGCGGGUUUUAAAAAUCAGGUUUAUCGCUGCAGUUAUGUGAGUUUUAUUACAGUCUAUAUUAGGCUGAGGCUGUAGGUACACAUGCGUCUUGAUGCUUUUUAUCAAAUAAAACCAUUUCCUGGCAGAACUUUGAUGGCUGCACUACAUUUAACCGAGAAAAGAAAACAAGAUAUCUGCCAAAAAAAGCCAUUCCGUGUAAUUUAAUAACACAACUACAGCCUUGAGUUAGUAAAUCCAUGUUACAAAAAGGGCAUUCAUACUCAACUUUAAGAUGUUGUGAGUAACAAUCUCUUCAUUGUGGUUAAUUUGCACUGGUUCCUCAUGCAGUGGUGCGCAGCAGGCAGUCAAGAUAAGUGCUUUAUUAAAGUCCUGGUCCUGCUAACAGACUUACAUCUACGUAUGUAUUAUUCCUAAAGUUUAGUAUCAGUUUCUUCCCUCUUCCAGCCAAGUUUCUGUCCCUGUUUUGUAGCUGAUGUUCCCCUUUUACCAGGGGUAUCACUCACAUCCCUGCAGCCAUUAAUCAAAUAAACACUGUAUAUGCAAUAUCCUGCAUCAUAUUGAAACUCUGCAGUAGAAACACAAUGCAGCUCUCAAACUUGAAAAAUAAUCUAUUUUGCUUGAGGCAUACACUGCACUUUUGUUUAUUCAGUGUUAUGAUAAAGAGAUUAUAAAUGAAAGGCCGCAAGAAAAAAGUUUAGUUUCGUAAUGUGUAUGAGUCAGAUUCACAUGGGGCACCUUCGUCUUGCUUUUUUCCUCCACUUACAAAGUAGAUUUAUUUCAUUAAAAUUAUUUAAAGGGGUUUUUUUUCACCGAAAGGUCUAAAACAAUUUGGAAGAGAGACUCUGCGAUUGAACUAAACUCUAAACAAAUAGAAGGCAGCAUAUCGCCAGAGUAACCGCUAAUUGCUGCUAACUAUAGCUGCUGUUAGACUCAGUUAGCCGCGCAGCUAGCAGUCUGGACUGGGAGCUCGGAGAACUGUGAGCUGUAGAUGUGUAGACCACUCGCACAGGAGCUUCAGACCAGGACAGGCUGGGGCUAGCCGGUUAGCACUGCUGUGGAAAUGUAUCUUACUUGUGAAAUAUCGGAAAUAAACAUGUAAGAGAUACCA